rnacentral:sRNA from 1 species
CAACAGCGAAAGGAGGUGGUCGAAUGUCUCAUUGUUUCCAGCCGCGCGCGGCCCGGCCGUCGGACGCGACCUCCCCUCCGGCGGGGGUUUGCGCCUGAACCGAAGCCGUCAAGGCUGAACAAUGCGGGGCCGCUUCCGAAAGGGGGCGGCCC